rnacentral:rRNA from 1 species
ACUGCUGCCCAGUGACCAAGGUUAAACGGCCGCGGUAUCCUGACCGUGAAAAGGUAGCAUAAUCACUUGUUCCUUAAUUAGGGACUAGCAUGAAUGGCAAGACGAGGAUUUAACUGUCUCUUACUCCUAAUCAGUGAAAUUGACCUUCCAGUGAAGAGGCUGGAAUAACACAAUAAGACGAGAAGACCCUAUGGAGCUUUAAUUAACUAGCUUAACUACUAAAUACCACCCCUAAUGGAACAAAAACAAAAACUAUAGGCUAGCAAUUUUGGUUGGGGUGACCUCGGAGAACAAAACAACCUCCGAAUGAUUAUAGCACAGGCACACAAGUCAAAGCAAAACAUUUGGUCUAAUUGACCCACUUCCUUUGACCAACGGACCAAGUUACCCUAGGGGUAACAGCGCAAUCCUAUUUAAGAGUCCAUAUCGACAAUUAGGGUUUACGACCUCGAUGUUGGAUCAGGACAUCCCAAUGGUGCAGAAGCUAUUAAUGGUUCGUUU